rnacentral:rRNA from 1 species
UACGUAGGGCGCAAGCGUUGUCCGGAAUCAUUGGGCGUAAAGCGCGCGUAGGCGGCCCUGUAAGUCCGUUGUGAAAGUCAAAGGCUCAACCUUUGAAAGCCGAUGGAUACUGCAGGGCUAGAGUCCGGAAGAGGCGAGUGGAAUUCCUGGUGUAGCGGUGGAAUGCGCAGAUAUCAGGAGGAACACCAAUAGCGAAGGCAGCUCGCUGGGACGUUACUGACGCUGAGACGCGAAAGCGUGGGGAGCAAACAGG